rnacentral:rRNA from 1 species
UGCAAGUCGAGGGGAAACGACAUAGUUAGCUUGCUAACUUUGGGCGUCGACCGGCGCACGGGUGAGUAACGCGUAUCCAACCUGCCCACCACUUGGGAAUAACCUUGCGAAAGUAAGACUAAUGCCCAAUGACGUUGAAAGAAGACAUCUGAUUUCAACUAAAGAUUCAUCGGUGAUGGAUGGGGAUGCGUCCGAUUAGCUUGUUGGCGGGGUAACGGCCCACCAAGGCAACGAUCGGUAGGGGUUCUGAGGGGAAGGUCCCCCACAUUGGAACUGAGACACGGUCCAAACUCCUACGGGAGGCAGCAGUGAGGAAUAUUGGUCAAUGGGCGAGAGCCUGAACCAGCCAAGUAGCGUGCAGGAUGACGGCCCUAUGGGUUGUAAACUGCUUUUAUAAGGGAAUAAAGUGGGGCUCGUGAGCUCCUUUGCAUGUACCUUAUGAAUAAGGACCGGCUAAUUCCGUGCCAGCAGCCGCGGUAAUACGGAAGGUCCGGGCGUUAUCCGGAUUUAUUGGGUUUAAAGGGAGCGUAGGCCGGAGAUUAAGCGUGUUGUGAAAUGUAGAUGCUCAACGUCUGCACUGCAGCGCGAACUGGUUUCCUUGAGUACGCACAAAGUGGGCGGAAUUCGUGGUGUAGCGGUGAAAUGCUUAGAUAUCACGAAGAACUCCGAUUGCGAAGGCAGCUCACUGGAGCGCAACUGACGCUGAAGCUCGAAAGUGCGGGUAUCGAACAGGAUUAGAUACCCUGGUAGUCCGCACGGUAAACGAUGGAUGCCCGCCGUUGGUCUGAAUAGGUCAGCGGCCAAGCGAAAGCAUUAAGCAUCCCACCUGGGGAGUACGUCGGCAACGGUGCAACUCAAAGGAAUUGACGGA